rnacentral:rRNA from 1 species
AUGAACGCUGGCGGCGUGCCUAAUACAUGCAAGUCGAGCGAACAGACGAGGAGCUUGCUCCUCUGACGUUAGCGGCGGACGGGUGAGUAACACGUGGAUAACCUACCUAUAAGACUGGGAUAACUUCGGGAAACCGGAGCUAAUACCGGAUAAUAUAUUGAACCGCAUGGUUCCAUAGUGAAAGACGGUUUUGCUGUCACUUAUAGAUGGAUCCGCGCCGCAUUAGCUAGUUGGUAAGGUAACGGCUUACCAAGGCAACGAUGCGUAGCCGACCUGAGAGGGUGAUCGGCCACACUGGAACUGAGACACGGUCCAGACUCCUAAGGGAGGCAGCAGUAGGGAAUCUUCCGCAAUGGGCGAAAGCUUGACGGAGCAACGCCGCGUGAGUGAUGAAGGUCUUCGGAUCGUAAAACUCUGUUAUUAGGGAAGAACAAAUGUGUAAGUAACUAUGCACGUCUUGACGGUACCUAAUCAGAAAGCCACGGCUAACUACGUG